AUGAGGACAGAGGAUGGAUUUCUCCAGAGGAACUCUGGGAACUGCCAGAGCAGCCACACCAGGCUCCCAUGGCUCUUCCAGGAGCAGGUGGGAAGGAGACCUUCAGGAAUUGUCCAUCCAUACCAGCAGAACAAUUUUAAUUUGCCCCUGCUGAGGCAGUCCUGUGCCCCGGGCACCGAGCGUUCCUGCACUGCUGGAGUGUGGAAAACUCCCUGUGGGCACCUCCCAGAAACCCCGGCUCCAUCAGAACCGAGCUGGAUGGAGCAGGAAAACACCUGGCUAUGUCCAUGGGAUUUUCCCUGUGGGAAGGGGACGCUGGAGGUGCAGCUUUCCAUCCCAAAAAGCUGCAUCCCUGCAGAUCCGGGGCUGGGAAGGUGCCCAGGAGCUGCCAGGUGUGACCCCAGUGUGUCCCUGGGUCUGAUCCUGGUCCGAGUGCCCCGAACCGGGGGGAUCUGCCCGCCCGGGAAUCCUGGAGCACCCUGGACAGACACGGACACGGCAGGGACAGUCCCAGAUCCCGGGGGGAGAGGGGUGCAGGAGCUUCCCAAGGACCAGCAGGGAGGUUUUUGGGGCGCAGGAGCUUCUCAGGGACCAGCAGGGAGGUUUUUGGGGUGCAGGAGCUUCCCAGGGAUCAGGAAGAAGGUUUUGGGAUGCAGGAGCUUCCCAGGGAUCAGAAGGGUUGUUUUUUUUGGGUUUUUUUGGGAGCACAAGGGUGUAAGAGCUUCCCAAGGAUCAGGAGGAAGGUUUUUGGGGUGCAGGAGCUUCUCGGAGGAUCAGAAGGGGUUUUUUGGGUUUUUUUGGGAGGAGCACAGGGGUGCAGGAGCUUCCCAGGGAUCAGGAGGAAGGUUUUGGGGUGCAGGAGCUUCCCGGGGGAUCAGAGGGGGUUUUUUGGGGAGCACAGGGAUGCGGAGCUGGGGCGGGGGCGCAGCUCAGCCCCAAAACCCGAGCCCUCCCACGGUCUGGCUUUCCCAGGCAGGCGCCUCAGGAAACUUCUCCCGGCUCCAAUUGCUGCGCUCCACCUUUUAUUCUAAUUGA
rnacentral:lncRNA from 1 species